rnacentral:rRNA from 1 species
GACGAACGCUGGCGGCGUGCUUAACACAUGCAAGUCGAACGGAAAGGCCCUGCUUUUGUGGGGUGCUCGAGUGGCGAACGGGUGAGUAACACGUGAGUAACCUGCCCUUGACUUUGGGAUAACUUCAGGAAACUGGGGCUAAUACCGGAUAGGAGCUCCUGCUGCAUGGUGGGGGUUGGAAAGUUUCGGCGGUUGGGGAUGGACUCGCGGCUUAUCAGCUUGUUGGUGGGGUAGUGGCUUACGAAGGCUUUGAAGGGUAGCCGGCCUGGGAGGGUGACCGGGCACAGUGGGACUGAGAGACGGCCCAGACUCCUACGGUAGGCAGCAGUGGGGAAUAUUGCACAAUGGGCGGAAGCCUGAUGCAGCAACGCCGCGUGCGGGAUGACGGCCUUCGGGUUGUAAACCGCUUUCGCCUGUGACGAAGCGUGAGUGACGGUAAUGGGUAAAGAAGCACCGGCUAACUACGUG